rnacentral:rRNA from 1 species
AUUGAACGCUGGCGGUAUGCCUUACACAUGCAAGUCGAACGGUAGAGGGGCAACCCUUGAGAGUGGCGAACGGGUGAGUAAUACAUCGGAACGUGCCCAGUCGUGGGGGAUAACGUAGCGAAAGCUACGCGAAUACCGCAUACGACCUGAGGGUGAAAGCGGGGGAUCGCAAGACCUCGCGCGAUUGGAGCGGCCGAUGGCAGAUUAGGUAGUUGGUGGGGUAAAGGCCUACCAAGCCUGCGAUCUGUAGCUGGUCUGAGAGGACGACCAGCCACACUGGGACUGAGACACGGCCCAGACUCCUACGGGAGGCAGCAGUGGGGAAUUUUGGACAAUGGGCGAAAGCCUGAUCCAGCCAUACCGCGUGCGGGAAGAAGGCCUUCGGGUUGUAAACCGCUUUUGUCAGGGAAGAAAUCUUCUGGGUUAAUACCUCGGGAGGAUGACGGUACCUGAAGAAUAAGCACCGGCUAACUACGUGCCAGCAGCCGCGGUAAGAC